rnacentral:lncRNA from 1 species
UUCAAAAUAUAGCUUUUUCAAGAGCAUAGCACAACUUAAAUAAUUUUCGAAUUUUUCUUUAUUAUCUCAUCACCAUUACUCUUGUUAUUUUAUUUUACUUUUAUUUCAAAAUAAUACCAGAAUGGAAAAAAUGAAAAAUUUAUUUUUUAUUAAAAACAGUUUAAUUACAAACUGUGAAGAAAAACAAACAAGCAACAAAUCAGGAAAUGAAGAACAACAUAACACUAAAAAUCUGAAUGACGCAUUCAUCGAUAUCAUAAAAAAAAUACCUAUAAAUCCAUUUAUUGAUAGUAAAGAAAAUUUAAAUAAGUAUGAAUAUGGCGUUGAAAAAAAAACUAGUGAAAGGUAUACAGGAGUACAAGUAUAUGAUGAGCAUGAUGAAAAAGACCAUAAAAAACAACAACCCAUAGAUUACCCUUUUCCUAUUAGUAAAAAAUUAAUAUUUGAAAAAAAUAAAGUUAACAAAACGGACGAUCGUAUAAAUAUAAAUUAUAGCAACAUUAUAUCUGACUUAUAUCCUGAAGAAGGAUAUAAAGGACCGAAUAAAAAACAACAUUUUUCAUCUGAUUGGGAAUUAUUAUUAGCUUAUAAUCAUGGUUUAUAUAAAUUCAAAAAUACUAAUAAUAAUUAUAAUGCUAUUAUAAAUAGAGAUAUGUAUACAUUAAACACUGAAAAUGAUAUCAGAAACAAUGUGAAUUUAUAUACUGAUAAAGUUAGUGUUGAUAACCCAAAUGAUACAUGUAAAUAUCUAGGUAUAGAAGAAUACAAAUGUCUAUUAACACAUUCUUUCCAUAUGAAUACAAAUGUAAGUAACCAAAAAUGUGUAAAGUGGUUUAAUGAAUAUAUGCAAUGUAAAUGGGAUGAACAUAAAUUAAAUAACGGUUAUAAUUAUAUUGAAAAUAGGAGAGAUAAGAAAUCUAAGGCAUAUAUAGCCGCUCCUGAUUAUCAAUAUUCAUAGGAUGGCUGAUUUACAUGUAAAAUGUAUGCACGUGUGCAUUUAUAUAUAUAUAUAUAUAUAUAUAUAUAUAUAUAUAUAUAUAUAUAUGUAGUACUUACAUACUAUUUGCUCAAGCUUACUGAAAUAUUAUCGUACAACAGACAGAAAGUUAUUUUUUUUUUUCACUAAUUAAAAGAAUGUCUAAAAAAAAUUUACUUUUUUAUAAAACAAUGUCCUAACCUUUUUAAGAUAAAAUCAAUUUAUUUCGCAUUCAUUCUUUUCACUUUAUUUUGGAUUGUAAAAUAUAAAUGCACUAUUUGUUUACCCCU